GACGACCGCUGGCGGCGUGCUUAACACAUGCAAGUCGAACGAAGUGGCGCACGGGUGAGUAACGCGUAAUCAACCUGCCCUUCAGAGGGGGCCAACAGUUGGAAACGACUGCUAAUACCGCAUACUGACGGCGGGGAUUGCGUCUGAUUAGCUAGUUGGAGGGGUAACGGCCCACCAAGGCGAUGAUCAGUAGCCGGUCUGGGAGGAGGAACAGCCACAUUGGGACUGGGACACGGCCCAAACUCCUACGGUAGGCAGCAAUGGGGAAUCUUGCGCAAUGGACGAAAGUCUGACGGAGCAACGCCGCGUGAGUGAGGACGGCCGUCGGGUUGUAAAGCUCUGUUAAUCGGGACGCGGUACCGGAAUAGAAAGCCACGGCUAACUACGUGCCAGCAGCCGCGGUAAUUC
rnacentral:rRNA from 1 species